rnacentral:tRNA from 1 species
GCCCCCAUAGUUGAAUUACAACAAAAGCUUUUCAAGCUUUAAGUUUGAGUUAGAACCUCAAUGGGAGCC